rnacentral:rRNA from 1 species
UACAGAGGUGGCAAGCGUUGUUCGGAUUUACUGGGCGUAAAGGGCGCGUAGGCGGCUUUGUAAGUCACUUGUGAAAUCUCCGGGCUUAACUCGGAACGGCCAAGUGAUACUGCAAUGCUAGAGUGCAGAAGGGGCAAUCGGAAUUCUUGGUGUAGCGGUGAAAUGCGUAGAUAUCAAGAGGAACACCUGAGGUGAAGACGGGUUGCUGGGCUGACACUGACGCUGAUGCGCGAAAGCCAGGGGAGCAAACGGG